UUAAAAAUAACAAAAUAAACUUAAAUCCUUUCUGAGACUUCUCCUGAACCCAUCAUGUACAAACAAUUCUAACAAAUUUCCUCUCUCCCACCACAUAUUUAUUCUCUACCUCAGUAUUUGCUUAUGUUUAUAGCACUUCAAAUUUUGUACAUAUGUUUAAUUUAUUCAUUUGUUUACUUGCAUAUUCUCUCUUUUCCCUACUAGACUAUAAACUCAACAAGGACAGAGAUAUUUUCCCACUCACAAACAUACACUCAACUUCUGACAUAUUUCUGUCAUAUUCUAGGCUGACAACUAAUGCUUCUCAAGGGAUUGAAUCAAUCUAUCAGUUCAAAUGUCAUCAUUGCUCAUCUACCCAGGAAUUGACCCAAGAAUUGUGAUUGCAGACAUAUACCACUGGAUGGGGAAAAUGAGGUUCACAGAGCAGAAAGAAGUGUUCCAGGUGUCAUAACAGAUGCAGUCUCAGUCUGUCACCCAGGCUGGAGUGCAAUGGCGUCGUCUCAGCUCACUGCAACCUCCGCCUCCCGGGUCCAAGCAAUUCUCCCACCUCAGCCUCCCGAGUAGCUGGGACUACAGGUGUGUGCCACCACACUUGGCUAAUUUUUGUAUUUUUAGUAGAGAUGGGGUUUCACUAUGUUGGCCAGGCUGGUCUCGAACUCCUGAUGUCGUGAUCCACCUACCUUGGCUUCCCAAAGUGCUGGGAUUACAGGUGUGAGCCAUUGCCCAGCAGAGUAAGUUCUUUA